GGGAGGUAUUACUGAGGGGUUGGCCGGGUGGUUGCUUGCAGCCCGCUCCCUAAGGAGACUUAUGCGGUUAGUACUAACCUACCUUUGUUGCCCAGAAAACUCGCUCGUUUGGUGUCCGCCCCAGACGAUCAGGCAGGUUGAAGAUUCUAAUCUCCUUAUUUGCUGAUGUCUUAGUAUUAAACAAUAUUUCAAACUUUCAACUUCAUGUCUGGUGGUUGAGAAAUCCAUGAAAAAGGCAUCAAAAAUCGGAAAUUAAUGUUAAUUUCGAAUUCCUGAAUCAUCAAAUCAUUGAACGCCUUUUGCUUCCGAUGGGAUUGCGGCGGUCAUGCCUAUUCGAACCUGAUUACGACCAAUGAUGCUCGCCUUGGCCUUGGACCUGCUAACAAAAAGCGUUGGCCCCCGGGCGGUGCCGACACAAUCUAAGUUUUCUCUCUCUUGUCAGCCCGGGGCUCGAAACGAACCCCCCCGGGAAUCCCUAAAUGCUCCUGUGACUGGAAGCAAGUGGGGAUAUCUUUAGAACUUCAGUACGUCGAGAGA
rnacentral:misc_RNA from 1 species